AGCUCGGCGGUCAGAGCUCGAAUUCUUUCCUCGGAUGCUCCAAUUCUCUCUUGGAGCACCUGACGUUCGGCCUCGGAGGCCUGGUACCUCGCCUCGGCGGCCAGGUACCUCGACUGGGCCUCCUCGUAACCGCGCUGGCACCUCCGGGCCCGCUCCCGGUAGUCUUGGACUAUGUGCAUCAGCAUUUCCGUCUCGUGCAAGUGCUGUAAAAGAGACGAAAAGAAAAACAUAAGGCGCUGCGAGUAAAAAUUUUUUACAAAUUACACAGAUGAAAAAUUUUACUUACCCGGACGGCGUUACAGCGGGUGGCGUCCAUGAAGGCAUUGUAGCUCAUGGACUGUAUCGUGGCCCGGUCGGCCGGGAGCAGCGCGACCCGAAAUACUUCG
rnacentral:lncRNA from 1 species